GGACGCUUAGCUCAGUUGGCCAGAGCACCUGCUCGACACGCAGGGGGUCGGGGGUUCGAAUCCCUCAGCGUCCA
rnacentral:tRNA from 1 species